rnacentral:rRNA from 1 species
GGGUGCGAUCAUACCAGCACUAAUGCACCGGAUCCCAUCAGAACUCCGCAGUUAAGCGUGCUUGAGCGAGAGGAAGAUGAACAUCAGAAAUCUGAUAGAAUGCUACAAUCU